AACGAACGCUGGCGGCAUGCCUAACACAUGCAAGUCGAACGAGACCUUCGGGUCUAGUGGCGCACGGGUGCGUAACGCGUGGGAACCUGCCCUUAGGUUCGGAAUAACUCCCCGAAAGGGGUGCUAAUACCGGAUAAUGUCUUCGGACCAAGGAUUUAUCGCCUUUGGAUGGGCCCGCGUUGGAUUAGCUAGUUGGUAGGGUAAAAGCCUACCAAGGCGACGAUCCAUAGCUGGUCUGAGAGGAUGAUCAGCCACACUGGAACUGAGACACGGCCCAGACUCCUACGGGAGGCAGCAGUGGGGAAUAUUGGACAAUGGGCGAAAGCCUGAUCCAGCAAUGCCGCGUGAGUGAUGAAGGCCUUAGGGUUGUAAAGCUCUUUUACCCGGGAUGAUAAUGACAGUACCGGGAGAAUAAGCUCCGGCUAACUCCGUG
rnacentral:rRNA from 1 species